GAUAGUUAAUACAAUGCUAAACAAAAAUCUGCACACCAGUCAAGCCAUAAGACUUGCUUUUCCCACAGAAAUCCCAAAUCAGCAGUGAUGUUACAACCGCAAAGGAUUCUGGGUGGGCAUAUGCAAAUUAGUUUAACAAAGAAUCACAUUUUUGCCUCAUUCCAUUUUCAACAUGGAUUCCUUUUAAUUUGUGUUUGCAGUAUACAACGGCUUGGAACACAAUUUAGGAUAAGAUGCAAAACCAGUGAACCACUCAUGG